UGAAGACAGAGCUGAGCCGCAAGGCGAAGCUCUCGAUUUACCGGUCAAUCUAUGUUCCUAAUCUUACCUAUGGUCAUGAGCUUUGGGUCAUGACCGAAAGGACAAUAUCCCGGAUACAGGCGGCCGAAAUGAGCUUUCUCCGCAGGGUGGCUGGGCGAUCCCUUAGAGAUAGGGUGAGAAGCUCGGUCACCCGGGAGGAGCUCAGAGUCGAGCCGCUGCUCCUCCACAUCGAGAGGGGUCAGCUGAGGUGGCUUGGGCAUCUGUUUCGGAUGUCUCCGGAAUGCCUUCCUUCCCGUCCCACCGGGAGGAGACCCCGGGGAAGACCUAGGACACGCUGGAUGGACUAUGUCUCCCGGCUGGCCUGGGAACACCUCGGUGUCCCCCCGGAAGAGCUAGAGGAAGUGUCUGGGGAGAGGGAAGUCUGGGCAUCUCUGUUUAGACUGCUGCCCCCGCGACCCGGCCCCGGAUAAGUGGAAGAUGAUGGAUGGAUGAACAUUUAAAGAAAAUAUUUGUAUGUACAAUUAAGGUUAAGUCGAGCUGUCAGGUCAUCAUUCUUCCUAAUUUUCCUUGGUGCUCUCGAGGAGGACGAAGAGGAGUCGAGAGAGGAUGUACCUGAAGAGACACUCCUAGGUUGUAAUUAGACAUGGCAGGUUCUAAUGAUGGUCUGUUCUCAGCCUUUGGGUCAACUGAUGCAGCUGGUGAAGUUAAAUCUGAGUCCAGGGCUACACUACCUGAAGGGGGAUCUCUCCUCUUCCAUCUCCCCUGUUGGCUUUCUACUCUCUGUACCCUUCUGUCCCUCACUAACAAGACACUUCUCU
ensembl:lncRNA